ACGCGGUCUGGAAAGGAAAAAUGGCUACAUAUACUCCGUGGUGGCAGAUCGUGAUCGCUCUUUGUGUUCCUAUCUUUGUGAAAACAAUCAAGUUUACGGCUAAGGAUGCAUCACACAAGAAUCAAACCAAAAGCGACUCAAGGAAUGCAG